rnacentral:rRNA from 1 species
AGCUCCAAUAGCGUAUAUUAAAGUUGUUGCAGUUAAAAGCUCGUAGUUGGAUUUCUGGGUCAAGCUCCUGGUCCGCCGCUAGUCGGUGCAGACUGUGUGCAGCGUUGGCUCAUCCUUGUGGGAAAGGCAGUGCGUCGUUCAUUCGUCAGCUGUCGGAACCGCAUCUUUUACUGUGAAAAAUUAGAGUGUUCAAAGCAGGCUUACGCUGUGAAUACAUUAGCAUGGAAUAAUAAGAUAGGACUUUGGUUCUAUUUUGUUGGUUGGAGGCCAAGGUAAUGAUUAAUAGGGAUAGUUGGGGGUAUUCAUAUUUAAUUGUCAGAGGUGAAAUUCUUGGAUUUAUGAAAGAUGAACUUAUGCGAAAGCAUUUACCAAGGAUGUUUUCA